rnacentral:tRNA from 1 species
ACUUUCUUAGUAUAAACUAAGUACAAUUGACUUCCAAUCAAUAAAUCCUAGCUAAAUUCUAGGAGAAAGUA